GAACGUGGACGCGAGUAGUUUACGAAAUUUUAAAGAUUUUUUACAACUUUAUAAUCAAAUGACUGAAAGAUGUUUUUAUAAAUGUAUAGAACACACGAAUUCACGUGAAUUGUCACCUAAUGAAAUUGAGUGUACAGAAAAAUGAGACAAAAUGAUAUUAUGACUAGGAGAAUGAAAGAAGCUGAACAAAUGAUGGACAAUAAACAGGAAGUGACGGUCUCAAAUAGCUGAUGUGAUACAUUAAGCGCUGUAGUAAAUUCUUAGGUACAAAUAAAUUUCUGAAAAAUU